GCGUCGGUGGUAUAACGGUUAGCAUAGCUGCCUUCCGCAGUUGACCCGGGUUCGACUCCCCGGCCGGACGCA